UUGAAUGGCUUACAAGUCUCACGACUAAACAAGACACAAACCCUUAUAUUCUCUCAAUAUUUCACUCAGUAUUGGUUGUGUUACAAUUCAGGUUUUCCAAGUCCCUUUUUAUAGAAGCUUUCAGUUGGGCUUGGACUUCUUGAAAACCCUUAAACUAUUUUCCAAUUAAAUCUUCUCAUGACAGCCGGUUAGAUCUCCUUGGAAAAUAAGUAAAUCAGG
rnacentral:lncRNA from 1 species